UGGGGAAUAUUGCGCAAUGGGCGGAAGCCUGACGCAGCGACGCCGCGUGGGGGAUGACGGCCUUCGGGUUGUAAACCUCUUUCGACCUCGACGAAGCUUUUCGGAGUGACGGUAGGGGUGGAAGAAGCACCGGCCAACUACGUGCCAGCAGCCGCGGUAACACGUAGGGUGCGAGCGUUGUCCGGAAUUAUUGGGCGUAAAGAGCUCGUAGGCGGUGUGUCACGUCGGCCGUGAAAACCUGCAGCUUAACUGUGGGCGUGCGGUCGAUACGGGCAUCACUGGAGUUCGGCAGGGGAGACUGGAAUUCCUGGUGUAGCGGUGAAAUGCGCAGAUAUCAGGAGGAACACCGGUGGCGAAGGCGGGUCUCUGGGCCGAUACUGACGCUGAGGAGCGAAAGCGUGGGGAGCGAACA
rnacentral:rRNA from 1 species